rnacentral:rRNA from 1 species
UACAGAGGGUGCGAGCGUUGUCCGGAAUCACUGGGCGUAAAGGGCGCGUAGGUGGCGACCCAAGUCGAUGGUGAAAGCUCGCCGCUCAACGGCGAGUCGGCCACCGAUACUGGGUUGCUGGAGCACUGUAGAGGCAGAUGGAAUUCCGGGUGUAGCGGUGGAAUGCGCAGAUAUCAGGAGGAACACCGGUGGCGAAGGCGGGUCUCUGGGCCGUAACUGACGCUGAGGAGCGAAAGCAUGGGGAGCGAACAGG